rnacentral:lncRNA from 1 species
GAGUCACCUCUGGCUCCUAGAAGCCUGGCUCAGGGUCAGCUCAUUUGAAAAGCGGCUGCCUUUUCUUCUUUUCUCUUCUCUUCUCUUUUUUUUUCUCUCUCUCUUUCAUUCACAUUAUAGCUUGAGUCAGAACUUCAUUCCUUUUUAAGGCUGAAGGACCACAUUUUGCUUGUUUGUUCAUGUGAUCGAUGAUGAUGGACACUUAGGUUGUUUCCACUUUUUAGCUAUCGUAAACACUGUUGCUAAUGGAAUAUGGGUGUACAAAUAUUUCUUCAAGAUCUUGCUUUCAAUUCUUUUGGGUAUAUACCCAGAAGUGGAACUGCUGCAUCAUAUGGAAGAGGAAAUGUGGACACAGACACAAACAGAGGGAGGGCCAUGUGAGCCCAGAGCAAGAAGGCGGCCAUCUACAAGCCCCGGAGCGAGGCUGCGGGAGAAGCCAGCCCCGCUCACACCUUGACAACAAUCUCUGUUGAUUAAACCACACAGUCUGCAGUCCUCUAUUACGGUGAGCCCUGCCAGCUGAGAUGGGGUUGACGUGGGAAUACAGCUGGGCACACAGGAGGCCCUCAGUGGAGGCUGGUUUCUUUGGCCCAGUGCCACAUGGAGCCCGUCCACUGGCUGAGCUGGGGGCCUGAUUGUGGCCACUCAACGUCUCUGUAAAGCUCAGGGUCUGCCUUGAGAUCCUGCACUUACCACGGAGUGGCCCUGCCUUGGGGACCCAUCUCACCUCACUUCUGCCCUCCUUUCUGGUUCAUGACUCAGCCAUCCACUAACCUCCCGUGGUAGCACUGUGGCCACUCUGUAAACGACAGCACCACUGGUGUCUCAUUGGGGGCCAGUCUGGAAGAGGGAGACCACCCUAGGCAUUUCAGACAGAAGGGAUGGAAUACAGGCAUUGCUUACACAGAGGACGGACGAGCCGAGAUGCAGAAAGGCCAGGUGAAGCAUUGGCCACAGCUGGAGGCGCUCCACCCUAGGCCAGCGGGACAGAAGGAAGCUGGGUCCGAGAAGCCAGGGCUUGGAGCCACAGUGGGGGCUGCCUGGAAGAACAUUCCAACACAGACCACAACACCUAUGGACCUGGAAAACAUUGUGCUCAGUGAAAGAAGCCAGACACAGAAGGACAAUGUUGUAUGAGGGACACAUUCCAGCAAAAAGACACAAAGUGACAGAAUGGCUGCCUUUGAGUGGGGGUGAGAAGAGGUGGAUGGCAGGUACCAGAAGAGAAGGGAAUAAAUAUAUGAAGAAAUACAACCCCCUCGGGCAGUGCCUGGCACAGCAUAAAUGCCCAGGAAAAAGAGGCCCAGUUGCUUACGUUCCCGGCGACAGGGCCGGGACCAGCGCCGGCUUCCUGGUGAAGGAGGCCACCCUUUCCUCUUGAGGGGUCUGAGUAUGCAUGUCAGCACCCGGUGGGCACCCAGCACCCAGCUGACCAGGGGCCUUCACCUCUGUGGGGGUUACCGGCCUGGCCCUGAGAACUGGAUGAAAGCUGGAAUAAUUCUUUCUGUAAUAAAGCAAACGCAACCACGUUCAACCUUUCCCUUCAUUUCAGAGGCUUCCCGCACCUGAUGCCUCCCACAGCCUCAGGCUGAGUCCCCAGGUGCUCCAGUGGGGGUGGCAAAGCUGAGCACUGAGUUGGUUUCCAUAGUUUUCAUCAUUAAAAUGUUUAAAUGACUAGGCCGAGCACAGUGGCUUCUCAGCAUUUUGGGAAGCCGAGGUAGGCAGAUCGC